rnacentral:rRNA from 1 species
UAAUACAGAGGGUGCAAGCGUUGUUCGGAAUUAUUGGGCGUAAAGCGCGCGUAGGCGGCUACAUAAGUCUGACGUGAAAGCCCGGGGCUCAACCCCGGAAGUGCAUCGGAAACUGUGUAGCUAGAGUCCCGGAGAGGAUGGUGGAAUUCCAGGUGUAGAGGUGAAAUUCGUAGAUAUCUGGAGGAACAUCAGUGGCGAAGGCGGCCAUCUGGACGGUGACUGACGCUGAGGUGCGAAAGCGUGGGGAGCGAACAGGAUUAGAUACCCUGGUAGUCCACGCCGUAAACUAUGGAUACUAGGCGCAGCGGGUAUUGACCCCUGCUGUGCCGUAGCUAACGCAUUAAGUAUCCCGCCUGGGAAGUACGGCCGCAAGGCUA